CAAAAGCUUCGUUCCGCCUGGAAGGUCUAUUUGAAAUGGAUCCUGUGGCAUGUCAGGUGUUGUCCAUAGAGCUUGAGGGUGGAGGAAACAGCAAAGGAACAGUGACUGUGGUACCAUCGAUCGAGCCAGGGUGUCUGUUUUUGGUGGAGUGGAUGGUGAGGCCACUGGUGCAGUGAGAUCAUAAACCUCAGGGGGACUGCACAAAUCCGAAAUGGAAGUUGGCAGGUACUGCAGAGAGAUCACAGUCUGCCUCAAUACCGGAGACGAAUAGAUUGGCCAACUGAGCCAGGGAAGAAGGAGGCAGUGGAUAACCCUGUUUCAAAGAAUGUGUUGUGCGUACCUGCCUCUCUUCAGAAGUACUGGGAGCCGGGGGAAGAGUCACACGAUGCUCUUACGCAGCAGGACCUGAGCGAUGCCCAGCGCUGUCAUAUAGUAUACGUGGCAGCUAGGUAUGCUUCUUUCACUGUCAUUUGACUUUCUUCUCAUUCACGUAUUUCUAGGGUGCCUCUGUAUCAUUUUAAGGCAAAUGAAGCUUGUGUGUCUUCUGUCCCAGGUAUGCUGAAUGCUAAGUGGCUUGGGAUGCUGGAUUCCAGUCUAGAAAUAAGGUUUUAGCCAAGUUUCCCUAAUUAAUCCCGCUUUGUAUUGAUGCGCUGGGCCAAGAUGCCAACCCUGCUAGUCCUUUUUAAGGUUCCUGGGAGGUUCUAGGUUUGCAUCCUUGGAGGCAUCUCCCCGUGGUUCAUUCCUAGGGUUGGACGGAGAUGUUAGCUGUGAAUCCUAGGACAGUAGGGCAGAGAGGUCUCCGUGGUUUUUGAGUAAUGCCUUGGCUAGAGCAUGGCCUUUUAGUGCCUGCGUCGUCUUAACAGCAGUAACAGCAGGAGCUGCUCUUUGCAAUUAGUAUUUUG
rnacentral:lncRNA from 1 species